rnacentral:rRNA from 1 species
UUUCCCUCAGGAUAGCUGGCACUCGCUUGAGCGAGUCUCAUCUGGUAAAGCGAAUGAUUAGAGGCCUUGGGGCCGAAACGACCUCAACCUAUUCUCAAACUUUAAAUGGGUGAGAUCUCUGGCUUGCUUGAACGUUGAAGCCACGAGAUUAUAAUUGACAAUGGAUCAGAGUGCCAAGUGGGCCAAUUUUGGUAAGCAGAACUGGCGCUGUGGGA